rnacentral:rRNA from 1 species
CAGUCGCCGCGGGAAUACGAAGGGGGCUAGCGUUGCUCGGAAUUACUGGGCGUAAAGGGAGCGUAGGCGGGUCGUUUAGUCAGAGGUGAAAUCCCGGGGCUCAACCUCGGAACUGCCUUUGAUACUGGCGACCUUGAGUAUGGGAGAGGUGAGUGGAACUCCGAGUGUAGAGGUGAAAUUCGUAGAUAUUCGGAAGAACACCAGUGGCGAAGGCGACUCACUGGCCCAUUACUGACGCUGAGGCUCGAAAGCGUGGGGAGCAAACAGGAUUAGAUACCCCAGUAGUCCCUGUCUCUUAUAU